AAAAGGACUUUUCCAAGGCUUGUAAUGAGGUUGGGCUAACAAGAAAGAAUUGGUUUUUCUAGAAUGCAAAAUCCUUGAAUCAAGAGAGCUAACAAAAUAUUCAACAUUUAAGCACCACUCUCACCAAUGUCUCUCAUUCCCAAUUUUUCCCUUUUCUUUUUCUUUUGCAUUGAGCUCUUCUUCAUGCUUUUCAUCUUUUCUUUUCUUUUUCUCAUGAAUUUUCUCUUUUCACAACAAUUGAGCUCAAUGCCUUUCAUUUGCUUUUUCAAUUUUCCCCCGUACAACCCCAA
rnacentral:lncRNA from 1 species